UUUUUUUUAAAUUUUCGGCCCAACCCACAAGAUAGAAGGGCUUGAGCCCACAACUAAUCCUAGCCCUAAUCUAACACACAUAAACACAAGACACACACACACACAAGCAUCAGCACCUCACUCUCCCUCUCUGCCUCUCGGCUCUCUCGCCCCUCUCGCUUCUCUGCUCGGUCGAGUGCGGCGCCGCCUCCGGCGCGCCGCCUCGCCAGACGCCUCCCUCCUCUCUCUCUCCCCUGUUUCCUUCAUCCGUCCCUCUCUCUCUGUUAUUUCUCCCUCGCCGGUACUCGAUGCAUGCGCCGCCUUGAAGACCACAGCCGCCGCCUCGCCGUGAAGGAGCUCGGCCGCCGUCCGUCUGGUCUUUCUCCUUCGGCUUCUGCUCGGAAAAGGGCGCGGGGUAGCCUCCUCUCCAUCCCCUCGUCUGGAACAGGGCAUCUACCCUCUCCGCCAUAGGGAGCGCACGGCCGCCGCCUGGCCGCCUCCUCCGUCGUCCGUCGUGGCUGAAAUCGCGGUGGAGGCCGAUCUUUGUCUCGCCGGAAAGAAAAAGGAAAAGGGCGGCGGCUGCCGCCUCGCUGUCGCCGUCGACGGCGUCGACCCUGAGCAGCCUCCAGGCUGCUCCCCACUUUUCCCCUGUUCUCUCAACACAAACGAAGACAUGGAGCACAACCCCCAAAUUCCCAAAUCCAAAAUCAUAUAUUAGAAAAAUUAGGGUUUUCCAUUUCUGUUCUUUUUCUUAUCAAAAUCAUAUAUAAAAUUUCUAUUGGAACUGUAAUACUUGCCGAAAUAAAAUGAGUGUGUGUGCUAUGGCUC